ensembl:snRNA U6 U6 spliceosomal RNA
GUGCUCCCUUUGGCAACACAUAUACUAAAAUUGGAACGAUACAGAGAAGAUUAUCAUGGCCCCUGCACAAAGAUGACACACAAAUUCAUAAAGCAUUCCAUAUUUUU